GGGGGCGAAACGGUUUCGACGGGGAGCGGAUGAUCAUGUGCGGCACGCCGGGGAUGUUCAGCACCUCGUUAAAAAGCUGGGCAACACACAGACGCCAACAUCGACGUCGAAUCCCGCGCCGUCGCCGCCUAGUAAGCGGCGAUGACGCCACUCACGCCAAGUCCGCUUCUACGCGGCGUGGGUGAAAACCAAUGAAGCUCGGUGACGCGUUCUAUGGUAGGGCGGCGCGUUACUUAAAAAAAGUCCAACCACGCUCCGAUGAACCGUGUUCGUUCGGGUCAGCGGAAGCGUAAAAACAACGAACUAAGCGUGUAGAGGCCAUGACCGAAACUUUCCGGACCCGGGUUCGACUCCCGGCGCCUCCACUU
rfam:Candidatus Thrbacteria bacterium RIFCSPLOWO2_02_FTLL_51_9 rifcsplowo2_02_scaffold_15422, whole genome shotgun sequence.